ACUCCUACGGGAGGCAGCAGUGAGGAAUAUUGGACAAUGGGCGCAAGCCUGAUCCAGCCAUGCCGCGUGCAGGAAGACUGCCCUAUGGGUUGUAAAUUGCUUUUGUACGGGAAGAAACACCCNCCUCGUGGGCAGGGUGCUGACGUACCGUAAGAAUAAGGAUCGGCUAACUCCGUGCCAGCAGCCGCGGUAAUACGGAGGAUCCGAGCGUUAUCCGGAAUCAUUGGGUUUAAAGGGUCCGUAGGUGGAUUGGUAAGUCAGAGGUGAAAGCCUGCAGCUCAACUGUAGAACUGCCUUUGAUACUGCUAGUCUUGAGUCGUUGUGAAGUGGUUAGAAUAUGUAGUGUAGCGGUGAAAUGCAUAGAUAUUACAUAGAAUACCAAUUGCGAAGGCAGAUCACUAACAACGUACUGACACUGAUGGACGAAAGCGUGGGAGCGAACAGGAUUAGAUACCCUGGUAGCU
rnacentral:rRNA from 1 species